UCAAACAAACAGAGAUGACAGCAGCCCAGACCCAAAUAAAAUAAAAUACGGCAGCUCUCGCCCGAACCAGGGCACGGAGCGGCUGCAGAGCUCGGAGGUGCCGCUGCUGGUACCGGUACCGGCGGGGCUCCGCAGCGGCCAACGGGCUGCCCCUGCCCGGCCAAGCCCCCGCUGAGGGCAGCCGGGGGGCAACAACCAGCCUGCAGCCGCUCCUCUUGGCUCUGGCCAGACCUCCCCAAACCUCUAACUGCCUUUUAAGUUUCCCCUUUGUUUUCAGAAACUCGUACACGUUUCCUGCCCGCUAUGAAGACAUAACAGGCUCCCCCAUACCUCUCCCCAGCCACGCGUGCACGCUAAACGUGCUCCCGGGCACAGUGAGCAAGUUUACUUUCCCCAGCAGCCAAGGCGCAACCCCCAGAAAGCCACCGCCUGCAUCUCGUUUCCAUGAGACCGCGCAGCGAAAGCAACCGCUGCUGAAAACGGGGAAAGCUCUUCUGAAAGGCAAUAUCUCGACCCGGGAUCCACCUUUCGGAUUUCUGCUUCAUUACUCGCUCCAUUCCUUCGCAGCUCAAUGCUGCAGAUGACACCGAAGUUGUGGGGUUUUCCUCCUCCUCUCCCGGACCGUGUGUCAAAACCAGCGGUUAAGCUGGACGAGAGCUCUGUCUUCAAAGCUUCCCCAGUUUCCUAGCUGUUCCUAGGCUAGAUACACCUACGGUAGGCAAGGAGAGAAGGAAAAAUGCCGUUGCCUCGGGGAGAGAGGCAUUGCAGAGGCUCUUUCGCCUUGCCUGUGCAGCGCAGCCUGGCCAGGCAGGCGGAGGAGGAGGCUCUUUUCGGAGGGUUUUUGUUGCGAUGGUAAAUGGUUGAAGAUCACUCGCUGCCCCGGCUGCCUCUUGGUUUUUUUUUUCCUCUCUCUUCGAGAUGGUCAAACUUAACUGUAAAACGGGGAAAGCGGUCAAUGAAAUAGCUGUGCCUAAACACGCCUUUCAACUUUCUGUUGUUUCGCGGACAACGUAGAGUAAGCACCAUCGACUAUAUAGGGGCAAUUAACUAUAUCAGGCUGACAUUUAAGAAAAUGAGGGAGAUAUUAAACUCCUAAUUCCCGUCAUUACAAAUAAUUUUCAUGAAGAGAACUUCUGAAAGAUUUUGUUUUCUCCCUUACACUUUCCAGUCUAUUUUUUAACCCCUGGGUGAUUUACUACAUAAGUAAUUUUAGAGGAUACAGUUUACAGCUUGAGUUAUUAGACUGAACACCUCUGGCUGACACCACAACACCUUUUUUUUUCUGCCUGCAGCUGUGAGUCACAACCCCAUUUUCAUACCAAACUGCUGCACAUUCCUUUACAAUAUAGACUUCCUUCUUGCGAAGAUCAAACACGCUUCAGCCAACGUGUUUAUUUUAAAAUACAGGAAAAUUAAAACUAAACAUGGACUUAAAAGAAAAACAAAUGCAUUAUUUCUUUCCCUACUGUCCCUCCUACUAAAAUAAAAUAAAAUUAGGACGGAACGGCGUGGACCACUCCGAUAAAAUAAUGCAGUGACAGAGCCAAAACAGUCGAUUUCUACUAGAACAGGAACGGAUCCUUCUGUUCGCUGUUAUUUAUUUAUGUAUUAUUGUGGCUAUGGUUUUAAUUAUAUGCGGGAAUGUCAGGCCAAGAUGCUGUAACUGUAGCCUCCCUUUAACACACUUUUCCUAUUUGUUUAAUGCUAGGGCUACAAGGCUAGAACAGGCACCAUAAGGAAAAUGGUUUCAAUAUUCUGUUUAAGAGCUUAUAACAGGGAAUCCUGGAAUUACAGGAAAACCUGCAGGCCUGCUCCGUGAAGGUGCCCGGCAGGACCAGGCAGAUUUCAUGCCGCCCGGCAGAUUUCGGGGUGUGCGGACGGAGGGAUUUGCGGGAGGGAGACAUGUCCGGAGUCAUUUCUACACGGGAAAGUGGGAUUUUAAAAGCCUCCUUGCUGCUCAGCGGCACAGGCACUGUGAUGAUUUUAAAUUUUGAGCAGGGUUAAGGUAGAUUCAAGCUCUACUCCUCCCGGUUACCCUGUCUAUCCCUCUAGUGACUCGGGUAUGAGAGAGUGGCUUCGCUGCAACUACUUCUUCUUCUACCCUCUGUUCGUUUUGCCCCAGGGGAGGGUAUCCGAUCGAGCUCGCGUUUUCCAUUAUCUCCCCACACUCCUCCAGUCUUUCCCCACGUUCUAGGAGUGAUGAGUUAGGCAGGGAGACCGGGACGUACCUGCCCGCAUUUAUUUAUCUUUGGUACGCGGACAGUCGUAAAAGAUUAUUUUAAAGAAGAAGAAAAAAAAAAAAAGAUAAAUAAAAGAAAGAAAAAAAUAAAGCGAAGGAUCAUCCGCUUUAGGAAACAGAUCGAAUAAUUCCCCGUCUCCCUUUCAAAUUAUCCCAAAUCCUUGCGGCUCCGAAGCGCUGAGCUAAGGAGGCGGCGAGCUCUUUCCGUGCCUCUGCUUGGGUGGAGCAAGACCAGCGCCUGCCAAACGGGUCCCUGGGCACACCCCUUGCCGAGCCAAGGGCUGUCUGACCGCCUGCCGUCGCGGCCCGACGUGCGCCCAAAAGUUAAGGCGAGAGCGGGGGUUCUUCCCCGCUGGAGAGCUCUCCCGUGCCAGCAGGUAUAGCCGUUGCCCGAACCCAGUGCCGAGGCAUCCUCUGCCUGCCCGCACCUGCCCGAGCGCUGCCCGACGUGCGCACCCGCUGCCCGCCUGUCCCCGUGGCCGUUUCUUGCGCGCUGCCUGCGCUCCCCGGCGCACCGCGGGGGCGACAGCACCGGGACGCGCAGCAUCGGGGAGCGGGGAUUUCAUCGAUUUGAACAAACUACGCUCGCCCAAGGCGGAAGCCUGCGGGUUCCUCUCUGUCUCCAAUACUCCCCGUCCAAAAAACGUGCCGAGGCUAUAGUUUUCAUAUCUUAAAUAAAAGCUUGGGACUUGGCAAAGGCAGCGAAGAAAUCCGCGGAGGUCCCGUUCUACCGUGGAGGCUGCCGGAGACGCCCGGAUGCGCUUCCUAACGCGGUUCCCCUGGUGGGGUAUCCCGCCGAUCCCGGCGGGAGGCUGCGGAGAGCCCUCCGCCCGCGCAGGGCCAGGGUAAACCUCCCCUCCAAGCCCAGAGGGCAACGCCGCAGCAAUCCCCGACGGUACGUGUGUCGUGGGUGCCUGGGGCUCGCUCGGCUUCCUGAGCACGGCGGCCCGCUUGGCUCCACAACUCCCCACCACUCCGUGAGCCUCUUCCCUGGCACCCCGUCGCGGGUCGGACCCUGCACCACCCUCCGUGCUUUCUACACAGCUGCGGCACGGGCGCUCCGAGGAAUUUGGGGUGUCUGUUGCAGAUGGACUGUCGGUCUUGGGGUGGGGGCCGGAUUCGACUCUGCCCCUGUUUCACCCGGCCCAUGCCUUUCCUUUUAUGGGUUUAUAACAAACUGGCGUGACACCCCCACGUCUCUCCUUGUCAAAGUGCUUCGUGCGUACAGGUCUGGUAGAGAUGCAUUGAGAAACUGCCCGCUCCCUUCGGAGAGCCUGAUGCUCAGACACAGCGGCCAACAUACGCUGGCUGCCUCAGGAGAACUAGGAACCUAACCCUUCUAGGCGGGGUUUCAACAAAAAGGGGGAGCUGCGACUAACUAAAAGCAUCGACAGUUCACUGAGAGGAGGGGAACCCGGGUUCAAGUUGUGCUCUUGCAGCUGAAAGGGAUUUGACUGGCAAGUCAUUCGGGCUGCUCCUGCUUGCCCUGAGGCGCCCUUGCUUCUACGGUAGUGGGGUGAAUGAAUGGUAAAAGCCAGAGACGGCUCUUUCUCAGAAACCUGAUGAACGCGAUUUUGCAGCGGGACGAGGAGCUUAUUUUUUUGCCGGUUUGUUUCCUCCGAGGAAGCACUGAAAGCGGAUCCCGUCGGCAGGUUACGACGGGGAUGGGCAUACUGGGGCUUCCAGGCUUUCGUCACCGAGCCCGGGGACACGCAGCCCCGCAGGCACGGGGCUAGUCCCCUCAGAGUGCCCAGAUUUCGCGGCGAGGGCGCAGGGUGUGCCCUUCUCUGCGCCGUGCCUCCUUCUGCCACAACGGAGCCUCUCCCGGCGCGGCCGCCGAUUCCGUCCUCUGCUUCUCCCUCGGUGGGAACAGCGGUGUUCUCCCUCCCCACCUUCGCCGUGCAACAUGCCGCCCUGAAUUUCGCUGACGGGCGAGACGCGGGACUCCUACCCGCAGUGCCACAGAGUGAUGGAUGCCUGAACCCGCUCCUGUUCCGGACCACUGGGGCGCUUCGGGUCGCGUUUCCCCGUGACCGGUAUCCCGGCAUUUCGGCAAACACCCACCCGUGGCGGCCUUUAAACGCCCGUCGCGCUGCGGACGAGCGAGGCUCUCGGGCUUUUUGGGAGGAUGCUCCCGCCGCCGGGGUGACCCCGGCAGAGAGGGGCGAAAUUCCCGGGGGCUGUCCCAGCGCCAGCUCUCGGGAGGGACACGCGGAGCACACGCACUGUGCCAUCACUUUGUGAAAUGUGCCUGCCGGGCUCCGGAGCCUCCGUGUAACCUUCAUCGGUUAAUCGCGGCUGCUUGGCCCCUCCAGCUCUCGCAGUCGGAAGAAUAUGAGCAAGCAGGACUGCGGCCCCCUCCCGGUCCCUGGCACCCCCCCAGCGUCCCCUCCGCAAUGCUGGGAAUUCCUUGGGGCCCAUGACUCCCGCCACACCCCCGGGCGGGGUCCCGUACGCGCCGUCGGAAGAAGCAGCGGGAAAUAAACCCUAGGGAGGUCCCGACGGGGCUCUGCGGGAGCCGCCGCGGUGCCCCCGCCCCACGGGGCUGCGAGAUGGGGUGGGGUCAGUGUUUGCAAACACACUGCGCCGAGAAGCAGCGCGGAUCGGGCAGCGGCGGGGGCUGCCGGACUGGAGAUGCCGGGGGCUCAGCCCCGCUCCCCAGGCACGGUCAGGUUGAGAGGCCGGCCAGCUGGCUGAAGCUCGGGACCAGGGAAACCAAAACAUUUAUAGCGUAACUGUAAAGCAGUAGCUGUCUUUGUCCCGCUAUUUAUUUUUGGGGGGGGGGGGACAGACAACAUCACGAGCUCUUCCACACUAGUGCCUUUUAAUUUUGCUUUCCACGGCUCAUGUUUACCAGGCUUUCUAAAGCCGCUCCCGCAGUCUGCGAGCUCUGCGCAGCCCAGCCCACCCCGCCAGCUCCUGCUCCAACUUGCCGGCCCUGCCCGACCCACACGCAUUAAAACACCUACGGAAACACACAGAAGUAAAUUAAAGAACGAUGCACAAAAGGCACUGUAAAUUGUCAUGGUAACCUGGUCUUGGAAAAGUUACAUGGAAGAACCCAUUUAGUUCGUCUAUACAGUGGCAACGUUUUCUUUCCAGUGAAGUGAGUAACAACCAGAAGGGGCAGAAGAAGAAGUGGAGGUACAAAGAAAGAAUUUCAGGGUCAGGUUCUUGCUUCCCAGGCAAAACCAGCCAACAACCACUACCAGCCAAAAGAAAUCUUACGUAUUUCAUUUGCCUUCCACGGAAUUUCAUAUUUAGCACACCUUUUAUUGUUCCACUGCGCUUCCAGAAAGUUGUUUGAAAGCUUGAAAUCACAGGCUGCAGUGUGAGAUUUUGGCAACCUCUCUUCUGCUACAGCUGUAAAAGGACAUGUAGCCUCCAGCAGAAUUCAUUCAUCCCAACACUUAUGCCGAAUAUUAAGUGACUAAAUCAGCUGUUGGGGCAGUUCCUUGUGCAGCCAAAAUGAUCAACUCCCAUGUGCAGUCCACUAGAGAUAUCAACACUUAAGACAGGCUGACACAGAGGUACCAAAAGACCAACCAAUUACAUUAAGCAAUGAUUACAUCACAUACAGCUAAUAUCAGUUGUGCUAUUACCAUAGAAGAGCGAAAGCUAUGUGAGAGAAUGAAACAGCAAAAAUUCUGGUUUUAGCUGAAGCUACAGGUUUGAGCACUGAAAUGAAUGGAUAUCUUAAUCUUUCAUCCUAAUUUCUGCAGGAGAUGAAGCAAUAGGAGUCAUGUAGGGAUUGUUGUCUUUAAAAUAUGCUCCCUUAAUAUCCUCAAAUAAUAAUCCUUAAAUGCAUUACUUCUUGCCUUCAUGGGGUUUAAGUGGAUUUUAAAUAAUUCCUAGACCUCGCACAGUCCCUUUAUGGAUAAAUACCUUUUAUCCUCUGUACCUGCAUGUGUUUUGCUAAGCAAGCCUCAUGGUGGGGCGUAUUUGAAAUAUCCAGAUGGGCAACACCAACAUCUGUGGUACCAUCAGGAGCUGCUGAAGAGAUAACUGCAGUGUCAAGAGGCUGUGGUGGGGAAUGAGUAGCAAGAAUGGAUGAACUUCAAGAGCAAACUGUUUUAAUUCAAUAUUCCAGAAUGGGAAAGAUAAACAGAGACACCCCAGCAGAACUGUUUUCAAAGACUGGUUUCUAUGAAAUCUCAAUAGUGUUAUGGGCAUAUCCCAUUUUCUUGAGAAUAUUUACUUUUCUGUUGGUUAUUUGAGAGUCUUUGAUGUUUGCUCAGCUGACCCAUCCUGAUUUCUUGCCCUUUGCUGCUCAUAGGCACCUUUCGUCACUGCAUGCCUACAUGCUUUAUAUCCAGCCUCCAUAUGGAUUAGAGUUGUCUCUUGAGCAAGCUGGACAAAAUGAAACUUCCAGGUUUAUUUCAGCUGAUUUGAACUGCUGCCAAAGCAAGGGCCACACUUGGUAUCUCAGGGACUGAGUUUUAAAAUCUCACGGGCAUAGACCUAGUUAAGAACAGUACACUUAAUUGCCAUUUAUUUCCAGAAGGUAUUUCUACAUCUUCUUAAGGUUGAAUUUUAUGAAGACUCACCUCAUCAAAUUCUAGCCCCAAGCUGUGGUUUGGUUUUACACAUGCCUGUGAGGCAGUUUGUCUUUCACACACACACAAAAAAGACUCAAUGGUUUAAAAUCCAGUAUGAUUGAAUGCUUGAUUGUGAUGGUUGUGAAAGUGACCUGGAGUUUAGUAGAGAAGUAGACAAUCAAGUUGUGUUUUUUUUUUUUUCUUUUCUUUUUCAUGAUAUGUCUUAGUAAAAUGCAAAUGUUUCUAUGAAACAGAGACAUUGAUCUCUUUCAGAAAUCUGUAUAAAAUACUGAAUUUCAUAAAACUAAUUCAACUCCAUGCAAGAUUGUCCUUUGAGACAUAUCCUCAUUCCCAGUAUGUAAAAGAAAACUAGAUUUUAGCUUUCUGUAUCAACAAAACUAACAAAUUAGUGAACAAAUACAAACCUUCAACCUGUUCCUCCAAGUAUAUGCUGAAACUAUACCAAGUACUGUGAGAAGUGGUCCUGCUUGCUAGGUUUGUGGGUAUCCUUCCGGAAGAAAGCCAGAUACUACUUGGGCAUGAAGAGUGACUGGCUUUCUCUCCCCAGGAGGUGGUUUUCUCAGGUCAGGAUUAAGGAAAGCAGCAGGAUUGUCAAUCUAACUUCUUCCAAGAACAGUAGAUUAACACCCCCAAAACUAUAAAUAACGAAAAAUGUGUGUUAACUGCAGCAUAUGAGCAGAAAACCUACUAUGUGCCUCUAGAAAAAAAAACAUCAUCUGUCUAUUUGGGAAAAAUAAAAAGCAUAUGCUUGAAGCUGUUAUCAUAUAAACACAUGCCUAGAACACGAACUUUUCCAGCAUGCAAAUAAAUUGACUUGUCAUUCAACAUAAUUUCUAUAUACUGAAAUUUAAAGUAAUUAGAGGACAGCUGCUGGGCUCCAUUCAGAAAUAUUUGUUUUAUUUUUAUACCACUCAGGAUAUUUUCUGUAUUUUCAGGGGUAUUAGAUUUCAGCUUGCUACAGUUAAUGUAACACAAAAUUCUGUAGUCAUUAUUGACUGCAACUGCUAACAUACAAUUUGGGAAUUAAAGUCCAAUGUGGAAAAGUGGAGAUGGAUAUUGAAAACAGUUUGUGCUCAUGCUUUACCUUACAACUGAUGGUUAGAACUGAGUUGAUUUUCGAGGAGUUACAAGAGGAAGUGUAAGUUGGUUUUGAAGAAAAACAAAUGUCCACAGACUUAACACUGUGUCUGCCAUCAGUGGCACAAGGAGACCAGGUUGGUCUGUGAGUUGAGGCUGGUUUGGUCUGACAGCAAAAGAGAACUGGAACGGAAAGUUUAUUACAAUAGAUUUGGUAAUAUGUGAUGACAUUCAAUAAAUCCUCUUGCA